GGAUUCGUGGCGAGUUCCCUCGAUGGCCAAGUAUUUCUCCUUGACGGGAUGGGGGUUAUCCCGCCCCUGCUCGGUCACCAGAGCCCCACUGGGAUGCACCGCCGAUGCGGUAGGGGUUGGAAUAUAGCCCGUCCGGCCUUUAUAUAAACUCGCUUAAGAACCCAGCCAAAAUAUGUUUUGAUCCUAAAAGGCUGCACCAGGAUUUGGAGUAUUAGGUCCGAAUUACCGGGAGGUCCUAAAAGUAUGCAGCACCAGCGCUGCAAUUUACCAAGCCUUGAACCGCCCUCUGGUGUCAAAGCCUGGCACUCUCUUGAGGAGCGGCUGGGUGGCCACCAGAUGGUACAAUGCAACCCUGCGUAAGCUGGGCAGCCAGCUGUUGUGAAUGCAACUGUGCGACUGCCUAUAGCGCGUGGGCGGAGCAACAGCGAAAAUAAAAACAAAAAGUAUACUCACGCUAGGCCUGCUUGACCAGCGCUAGUACGUCUCAGUAGGGAUCAAAGUUCAGGGGUCAAAGUCCAGACGCCGGACCACCAAACCACAAAGAUGGGGCAGGAGUGGCACCCGACCAGGCUUGUGUCACAGACAGGGGUAAAUCAAAUAUGUAUUUAUGCAUAAAAAUGGCGAGGACUCCUAGUCAGGUUGGUGGCACCUACUGUUCCUUUCUCUUGCCAAUGCCUUCACUGUCUUGCAAAACUUUAAUUACUUUGGCGCCAAAAGUUCAGCCCAACGACAGCAGCGCAGUUAACUUUGCCGAAUCCUAAAACUUUAAGCCGCUUACAAACAUAACCCAAAAUGCAAACUAAAAAGGAGAAGAAGACCAAAACGUAGAAGGAAACCUGCAGCCAGCAAACAAACGAGCUCAACGUUUUUGCACUUGUGUGUCAAUAAAAUAAAAUAAAAAAGAGGAAAACACGCUCA